UCAGGAUGAACGCUAGCUACAGGCUUAACACAUGCAAGUCGAGGGGCAGCAUGAUCAAAGCUUGCUUGAUUGAUGGCGACCGGCGCACGGGUGAGUAACGCGUAUCCAACCUUCCCCUUAGUAGGGCAUAGCCCGGCGAAAGUCGGAUUAAUACCCUAUGUUAUUCGUCGAGGACAUCUGAAGUGAAUCAAAGAUUUAUCGCUAAGGGAUGGGGAUGCGUCUGAUUAGGUUGUUGGCGGGGUAACGGCCCACCAAGCCAUCGAUCAGUAGGGGUUCUGAGAGGAAGGUCCCCCCACAUUGGUACUGAGACACGGAUCAAACUCCUACGGGAGGCAGCAGUGAGGAAUAUUGGUCAAUGGGCGAGAGCCUGAACCAGCCAAGUAGCCGUGCAGGAUGACUGCCCUAUGGGUUGUAAACUGCUUUUAUACGGGGAUAAAGUGAGGUAUGCAUACCUUUUUGUAGGUACCGUAUGAAUAAGGACCGGCUAAUUCCGUGCCAGCCGCCGC
rnacentral:rRNA from 1 species